rnacentral:lncRNA from 1 species
CGGUCGUGUGUCCCUUUCUCUCCUUCGCUAUAGAAGGAACAGCCACACUUGCCACAAAUGAAUUUGUUCUUAGCAUGAUAUGACUUGUUGUGGCUAGCAAGAUUUGUCUUGAAUAUUUCUUUAGUUGCAUCCUUGUAAUUCGACUUAAAGCAUUCCCAACACAAAAUUGUGUCAUCGUUAUUAACUCUCAUUUAGGCCAGAAGAUAAGCUUCAUGCUCCUCAUCCGACAUGUUGCUAAUUCUAAUUCUAUUUCAAAAUGCAACAACAAACAUAAACAAUGAUAAGUGAGU